rnacentral:lncRNA from 1 species
GCACAGUUGGUCUGACCAUGUAUUCUUCUGGAGCAUUUUCCCAUGGAGAGGUGGCUUAUACAACCAUUCAGUCUGUCCUGCUAGGAAUUUUGGACUCACUGUCUGAUUUCAGUCAGAAUCUGAGGGAGCAGUUAAUCAUCAGAGGCAGCCAUCCAUGCACAGAGCGUCCUCCCCAGGUCCUGAGAGCUGUGCUGUGACUUUUGCUCUCAGACACCACAAAAUAUACAUGAAAGAGAUAUUGCAUGCCACCAAUGCAAAUUUUUUGGGGGGAGUUUGUGUCUUGCUGAACCCAGAGAACCCAGCUAAAAAUCAAUGGGAAAACAGAUUUUGAAUAACUGUGCUGCUCAACUGCUUUUUGACUUUUAAGAUUUUGCUAUGAAAGCAACAGUGGCUAUCAGAAGUGUCUGCUCUCCCUUGCCAACACCUCCUGAUGACUCAAUGGCUCACCACUAAGUUUCAUGCAUGAGCAAUAAGGACUCAGAGAUUAUGUUUUUCAUCCAGAGCCUCCACCCACAUGGAAUGGCAAUAUGCUGUCACCAUCAGUACACCUGCAUGGAGGACAGAAGAAGAGCAGCUCCCUUCUGUGAGUCACCAUGCUCCCAUCUGAAACAUUCAGUAUGAUUAGCAAGGAGUCUUGCCUUCAUUACUGGUUAGAGGACAAAUUCUGUCACCACGACACCAAUACGUACCCGGAGAUGUGCAUUAACAACAUACCCAUCAAGAAUACCACUGAAAAACUUGAGAGCCCAGCCAUUAUAUGGCAUCAUGGACCCAACCUGCAGAUGUUCAUCCUACCAGUGGCAAGACACACUAGCCCAUGUCUUGUGAUCCUUCGGAACAGGGUGAUGGGAAAACAACAGCGAACUGGUGAUUUGUUCUGUUGUACCUCGUCCAGUUCACCCUUACUUUCAGAGAAAGGGUUCUCAAGAAGAGAGUGCUUUCAUCUUUUUUUUAUCUUUGCAAAUCCUUGACUUACCAUGUACUAGGAGAGAGGACCAAUUGGACUGUAUUUCCAGGUGAAGACAGUCCUGAUCUGUGGCAACUGCUUUGAGUUCACAAUUCUAAUCUGUCUAUAUGUUAGAUUUUAAUCAAACAUUAGGUAACAUCUGUAUCACUGAAAUUAAGAUCUUUAAAAGCUCAUGAAAAGAACUGGGUUGCAAUUCUUCCAAGUAAAAUUUUAAUAGGCUCUUGUUCUUCCCUCCACUUUAUUUGCACUUGCAAACUUCUAUCUGAGGAAGCUGUAGAAUUGCCAGCACAAAAGGAAGUAUUUCUUACACACUGUACCCAGACUAGUGGGGCUGAUUCUUAAUGAUGACCACAAGUCAGCAUGUUUGCAAGCAGUCCAGAAGCAUCAUUCACUCAUUCAGCUUCCAACACAGGCUGAUUUAUAAAGCAACUCCUGGCUGUUAGGGUAACUUGUCACAGACAGAACCAGUUUACGACCUACCAAGGAUUCCUAAUGUCUAGUGGCACCCUGCUAUUUAUGUAUACUGAGCAUCAGAACUCCUCUGACAUCCUGCCUCUUGGGCACAGGAGUUUCUGGGAGUAAGAUACUGGUAAGUAUUUCUCAGGCAAGACUAGCAGCUCAGCAAGACUCAUCCAUUAUCAGAAAAUAACCUUUACAACGAAAACUUCUUUAAUAGGCUGAUACUGAGAAUGUGCUCAAGAAGGUACAAUAUUGAAGCCUGAAGCAGAAAUUAAGAGGAUGUAGCAAGAUCUCAUUGUAAGGGUCUUAAAUAACAGUGAAGCAUCCUUGUUUCUGCAGGAACCUUCAUUAUGUUAUUUAUCUCAGAGAAAAACCCAAACCAAAAAACCUCUGAUUACAAACAUACCAAGCAACAUUUUGAAAAUGGUCGUUGGACAAUACCAAAAGCUCUGACAGUUUCAGAACUUUGUAUUUUGGGUUCAAAUUUAUUCUUAACCAGACUACAAUUCUAUUUUAAAGCUCUUCCUUUGCUAUAAUACAUUUAAAGAGGUGACAGAGGCCCCUUCAACCUUCACUCUGUGAGAGGAAACAAGCCCAGUUCUUUCAGACACUGUUAAUAAAUCUCUUUUUAAUUCUCCCA